AUUCCUUGUCGGGUAAGUUCCGACCUGCACGAAUGGCGUAACGAUGGCCACACUGUCUCCACCAGAGACUCAGUGAAAUUGAAAUCGCUGUGAAGAUGCAGUGUACCCGCGGUUAGACGGAAAGACCCCGUGAACCUUUACUAUAGCUUUGCACUGGACUUUGAAUAUUUAUGUGUAGGAUAGGUGGGAGACCAUGAAGCAGCUACGCCAGUAGUUGUGGAGUCGUCCUUGAAAUACCACCCUUGAAUAUUUGAAGUUCUAACUCAGGAGAGAUUCGAGGACAGUGUAUGGUGGGUAGUUUGACUGGGGCGGUCUCCUCCUAAAGAGUAACGGAGGAGUACGAAGGUGCACUCGGUACGGUCGGAAAUCGUGCCAAGAGUAUAAAGGCAAAAGUGCGCUUGACUGCGAGAGUGACGGCUCGAGCAGGUACGAAAGUAGGUCUUAGUGAUCCGGUGGUCCCGAAUGGAAGGGUCAUCGCUCAACGGAUAAAAGGUACUCCGGGGAUAACAGGCUAAUUCCUCCCAAGAGUUCAUAUCGACGGAGGAGUUUGGCACCUCGAUGUCGGCUCAUCACAUCCUGGGGCUGAAGUAGGUCCCAAGGGUAUGGCUGUUCGCCAUUUAAAGUGGUACGCGAGCUGGGUUCAGAACGUCGUGAGACAGUUCGGUCCCUAUCUGCCGUGGGCGUUAGAGAUUUGAGAAGAGUUGCUCCUAGUACGAGAGGACCGGAGUGAACGAACCACUGGCGUUCCGGUUGUUUCGCCAGAA
rnacentral:rRNA from 1 species